UUUUUAAUUUAUUAAAUAAUAAUACACCAAAAGCUACUGGCCAUAUCUGAUUUUUGCAACUCCAGCAAACCCACUGGUAAUUCCCUUCCUCUCAUAUGGCGAUUUACGGCAAGAGACCACCGCCUUCACUCGUCGCUUAUUUUUGGGGCUAUUAGGGUUCGUCGAGCAAGUCCAGUGAGUUCAGUUGUAAGACGGCGACAACGGUGGCGGCCACGGUUCCUUUGGCCUCCGGUCUCUUCGUAUCAAGCACAUCUCUCUCUUUAGGCGUCAAUUUCAUUUUGGGUAUCACCUGGAGAAGGAACCGGUGCGAGUGUGCGACAAUGUCGGAUGAUGAUGAUGAUCAAGUGGACAGUGAUGCGAAUUUGUUUGAUGGGAUGGGUUGCAGUGCUGGAUUGAUCUCUAUUGAUCUUGCCAAACAGCUGAAUAUAUAUAGUUGAAUGCUUAGAGCAUCUUGCUUUGCAACUAUGGCAAUCAGGGAGCUGCUCAAAACAUCAACUUCUAGUUGCUUGGCAAAGGAAUGUGAAGAUGGAUGUUGCUGAUAGCCUGAUACUACUUGGAAGCUAGAUGAAGCUGGAUUUUUGAAGACAGUAGAUCUGUUUUUGUGUAGUGUAGAACUGUAGAUUUUGCUUUUGUUUUGUUUUAUACUUUUAUGUAUGGUUUAAGGCUUAGAGUUCAUGUUUUGCACAAAU
rnacentral:lncRNA from 1 species